rnacentral:rRNA from 1 species
AACUGCGAAUGGCUCAUUAAAUCAGUUAUCGUUUAUUUGAUAGUACCUUACUACUUGGAUAACCGUGGUAAUUCUAGAGCUAAUACAUGCUGAAAACCCCGACUUCGGGAGGGGUGUAUUUAUUAGAUAAAAAACCAAUGCCCUUCGGGGCUCCUUGGUGAUUCAUGAUAACUUAACGGAUCGCAUGGCCUUGCGCCGGCGACGGUUCAUUCAAAUUUCUGCCCUAUCAACUUUCGAUGGUAAGGUAUUGGCUUACCAUGGUUUCAACGGGUAACGGGGAAUUAGGGUUCGGUUCCGGAGAGGGAGCCUGAGAAACGGCUACCACAUCCAAGGAAGGCAGCAGGCGCGCAAAUUACCCAAUCCCGACACGGGGAGGUAGUGACAAUAAAUACUGAUACAGGGCUCUUUUGGGUCUUGUAAUUGGAAUGAGUACAAUUUAAACCCCUUAACGAGGAACAAUUGGAGGGCAAGUCUGGUGCCAGCAGCCGCGGUAAUUCCAGCUCCAAUAGCGUAUAUUAAAGUUGUUGCAGUUAAAAAGCUCGUAGUUGAAUCUUGGGUCUGGCUGGCCGGUCCGCCUCACCGCGUGUACUGGUCCGGCCGGGCCUUUCCUUCUGGAGAGCCCCAUGCCCUUCACUGGGUGUGCGGGGGAACCAGGACUUUUACUUUGAAAAAAUUAGAGUGUUCAAAGCAGGCCUUUGCUCGAAUACGUUAGCAUGGAAUAAUAGAAUAGGACGUGCGGUUCUAUUUUGUUGGUUUCUAGAACCGCCGUAAUGAUUAAUAGGGAUAGUCGGGGGCAUCAGUAUUCAAUUGUCAGAGGUGAAAUUCUUAGAUUUAUUGAAGACUAACUACUGCGAAAGCAUUUGCCAAGGAUGUUUUCAUUAAUCAGUGAACGAAAGUUAGGGGAUCGAAGACGAUCAGAUACCGUCGUAGUCUUAACCGUAAACUAUGCCGACUAGGGAUCGGGCGGUGUUUCUAUCUUGACCCGCUCGGCACCUUACGAGAAAUCAAAGUUU